GUGAUGUGCUAAUAUGUAUUUGCUUUAAUGAUAUACCCAGAACAUGUUGCCAUUACAGUCUUUUGUCAUACAGUAAGAAGAAGAUCCACAUACAAUGCCUUAAACCAGUGGUAGUCAACCUUUUUCUACCUACCGCCCAAUAAUGCAUUUUUCUUGAUGGAAAAAUUUCCUUACCGCCCACCAGUUUUCGCGCAAGUGCAGGAUGUUUUUUUUAGAAAGGAG